UGGGGAAUUUUGGACAAUGGGCGAAAGCCUGAUCCAGCAAUGCCGCGUGUGUGAAGAAGGCCUUCGGGUUGUAAAGCACUUUUGUCCGGAAAGAAAUCCUUGGCUCUAAUACAGUCGGGGGAUGACGGUACCGGAAGAAUAAGCACCGGCUAACUACGUGCCAGCAGCCGCGGUAAUACGUAGGGUGCAAGCGUUAAUCGGAAUUACUGGGCGUAAAGCGUGCGCAGGCGGUUUGCUAAGACCGAUGUGAAAUCCCCGGGCUCAACCUGGGAACUGCAUUGGUGACUGGCAGGCUAGAGUAUGGCAGAGGGGGGUAGAAUUCCACGUNUAGCAGUGAAAUGCGUAGAGAUGUGGAGGAAUACCGAUGGCGAAGGCAGCCCCCUGGGCAAUACUGACGCUCAUGCACG
rnacentral:rRNA from 1 species